rnacentral:rRNA from 1 species
UGGGGGAUAUUGCACAAUGGGCGAAAGCCUGAUGCAGCGACGCCGCGUGGGGGAUGAAGGCUUUCGGGUUGUAAACCUCUUUCGCUAUCGAACAAGGCCCGCUUAGGGUGGGUUGAGGGUAGGUGGAGAAGAAGCGCCGGCUAACUACGUGCCAGCAGCCGCGGUAAUACGUAGGGCGCGAGCGUUGUCCGGAAUUAUUGGGCGGAAAGGGCUUGUAGGCGGCUUGUUGCGCCUGCUGUGAAAACGCGGGGCUUAACUUCGCGCGUGCAGUGGGUACGGGCAGGCUUGAGUGUGGUAGGGGUGACUGGAAUUCCAGGUGUAGCGGUGGAAUGCGCAGAUAUCUGGAGGAACACCGAUGGCGAAGGAAGGUCACUGGGCCAUUACUGACGCUGAGGAGCGAAAGCAUGGGUAGCGAACAGG